rnacentral:pre_miRNA from 1 species
GUUUGCCUCUGCAUGGAUGGUUUUCAGCACUUAGGACAGGUAUGUUUGCCUGUGUGUGGAUAGUGUUCAGUACCAUGAACAGGAGUGUUUAACU